GAAAACAUCUAUUUCAGCAUCCAAUCAUCCACUGAAUGAUAGGUUUCUGCAAGGAAGAUGAAAAAUACAUAGAACUGGACCUUUGCUUCGGCGGAUAUGUCCAGAUUGCAUUGUAUACUACUUAAACAGUUUGGAACAAAUCUGAAACUCCUUGACAACAACAUUAGAAACAAAUCCAUAGAUAAUAGUAGUACUACUUUGCAGCCUAAAUCCACCCGAGAAGACACCUUGUCUCCAAUUAAUAAACUAGUAAUUAACUACAGUCUUACACCCGCAUAAUGAUACUAUCAUUAGGAGAAGAUUUGAGAACAGUUGGUGUUCUUUUCGAUCCAAAUGCAGAAACGCACCUCCUUGGAUGAACGAGAGGAAGUAGGAUGUGUGGAUCUCAAAUCCAGCGGCCAUGGAGAAGAUAGGGAGGGGCGGCGGCGGAGGCGUGCCGAAGUCGAUGCAGAUGGAGAGGAGGCCCAGCGUGGCGGUGGUCGGCGGGGGCGAGCUUGACCCGAGGCGUGGAUCCUCCACGGCGGCGACCUGUGUGGAACAGAGAGAGAGAGCUGAGAGGGAGAGCGAAGGAAGAAAGAGGAGGGAAGGCAGGAGGGGACCGGCGUGACGCGGAUCCUGUUCGCCGGCGAGACGGCCGCUCGUGAAGCUCCUGGGCGGCGUGCUUCACCAUAUGCGUGCAAGGGGAUUAGUUGUUUUUUUUCUGAAGAGAGGCAGCUACUAAAGAGAGAGAGCGAGUCAGCGACGACUGUUUCUGUCGGCUAGCGCGGCCACUCGUUUCCUCCGGAUCGUGCGCGCGCACUUUUUAGGUUUUGGGCAAUUUGAAAGUACAUAUAUUUCAAAAAUAAUCACGAAUUAGAAUAAAG
rnacentral:lncRNA from 1 species